ACAGCCUAACAACAUUUAGGGCAGGGUGAAACAAUGGCCUUCCUCCCACCUCUGUUGUUCUUGACAGCUACCUCCAAGAGAAACCUCUCUUCUCCCCCCCGAGAUGGAAUUUUUCUUUUCCUCUCUUACACAUGCACACGGAGGAAAGCUCAUUCAUUCACAGGCCAUCCCACCUGCACACCCAGCACCCAGCCUGCAGAGCCUCUUGGCCUCCAGCCUCCACUGCAGAGGGCUGGCUCCAGUCACACAGAGGAUUUUGCUUUCCAAAAUAAGGAAAAAAGGGUGGAAAUAACACAUUAAAGCAUUUUUCUUUUUAGGCUUGUGGCCCGCUGAGAUAAAACGAAACAUGAACUUGAACCCAGACCAGGAAGGGUGUUGAAGGCUGGAGGGAGCUCUGUGGAGCUGUUUCUCGUGUUUGAUUGUCUGAAACACAGACCCACACGCACAGCGCUGUGCGAGCACGUCUCCGCAGGCCUCCCACACAGCCCGCCAACCACCCGGGACCAACCAGCUCAGAUCAAACAGAGCAGCCGGCUCCCUCGGCAGAGCCCCCGGCUUCUGCAACAGGGAUUAAAUUCUUUCCCAGGCUUGUCCAUAUGGUUUUAAGCCACUCCUUGAGCUGCUUAAGGCGGACAGCAAACACACAGCUCCCCCCGAUCACAGGGAGGGGCACCGGGCUGGGACAAGCGCAGCGGGGAGGGCUGGGCGCCCGCCGUGCUUCACGUAAGAGCCUCCCCGCCGGCCUCGCUGCACCGUUGGCGGCCACCCCCCGCUCUGAGCUGCGGCUCGGGUCCCGCCGGCGGAGCGGCUGCUGCACCCCGCGCCCGCCCCGCCGGACCCGGCUCCCUUCCUCCACAGACCCUCCCGCAGUGCCGGAGGGGCGGCCCGGAGCCGAGCCCGGGCUGUCGGGGCGCCCCGCAGCUCGCCUCGCGCCUCGCCCCUCGCCCCGCAGCCCGGGCCCGCCCCGCCGCGGAGGCCCCGCACCGGCAGCAACAACCGAGCCCGGCCCGCCGCUCUCCGCACUCACCCCGUGCGCGCCGCCACCGCCGUCAC
rnacentral:lncRNA from 1 species